GACAUUCCUAGCUAAUGAGUCAGCAAUACCAUUUUGCACCCUUGGGAAGUAUUCAAUUUUGAAGUCCGGUAAACACAUCUUGAGAAGUGGAAUGACCACCAACUCAGUUGAGAAAUUUGGUCAUGCUUGUGGAUCCACUACCAUUGCAAUCAUGUCCUUGCAAUCCGUCCCAAAUCUCUGACAUGUCGAGUGCUGUAGCAUGCUC
rnacentral:lncRNA from 1 species